CACUGGCACUUGCAGACAACCAUUAUUUGCCCUGCUUCAUUUUGUUACCAAAAUCACUGAGCAGAACUGGGACCAAGGUAGAAGUCACCCUGGGGACCGAACAUGAAGCUAACCUGAUAACUGCUAGUUUUUAAUCAAACAUAUGCCUACCUUUUAUUAUUUCAACCUGAACUCUGUUUCUUGAACUUGUGCUGUAAGAUGUUCUCAGAAGUGAUGGCCAAAAGCUGUGGUAAAGUCACAGUGCCUGCGUUUUGUUCUSUCCAGCUCUGAACAAGCC